UCCCUCCUCCUGCCCUGCCUGUCCCCUGCCCGAGCCCGGCCAGGCCUCCAGCAGGGAACUAUUCCCUGCCCAAACUGUGCUUUUGCCUUCUAACAGGGCUCUGGUCCGUCUUAUUUCCAUCCUCUCCCUGCCCCUGGCAUCUGCAGCUGGAUGGUUGUUGGCACCAAAGGCAGCAGGUGUGCUGGAGGAGGAAAAGGAAGAGGAAAAGAUCUGAUUGCCAUGGAGGAAAUUCCCCAUCCAUGGCAUCAUCCAGUUAAUAGAAUCAUUAGAUCUGCUGGAGGCAAGUUCAUCAAUGUGGGAUGCACAAUGAAUCCACCCUGGGCUCUGUCUCUGAUUCACUACAUGCCAUGAAUCCAGCAGCUCAUCACUGCCUGAAGCUUUCCUGACUUCCCUGGCAUUUGCAGGAAGGUGCAUGGUCACCCUGUGGAAGCAGGUCCUCCUCUGGACUCUUCCUUCCAUCUCCAGCUUUCCAAGAUCUCAUUCCAGGUUCUGUACCUUGAGAAACUGAUGUGUGCCCCGAGGCUACCCUGGCCCUACUGAAUCCCACAGAUCUCCAGGAGAACCAUCCACCUCAUCCCUGGCGAGCAGAUCCAGGUUCCUCCACAGUUUUCCAGCAGGAUUUGCAGUGGGUGGUCACAGACUGGAGAGCUUGGCAGCUUUUUCAGUGGUGCUGUUUGCUGCAGGAACCACAUAUUUUUACCCUUGUGUGGAAUAAUCACAUCCUGAUGAAAUCCAGGAUUUGUGCAGCCAAGCUGACUUUGCAAGUGCCACCACCCUUCGCAGCUGCCCAGACACCAACCCUGGAUUUCCUGCUCCUCUUCCUCAGCUCUUCAAAUCCUCCUUCCUAAACCAAUCCUGAGCCAGAAGAGCACAUCCUGGAGGACAGCUCCCACUCCAUUUUUUCCAUACUGGGCAGCAGCUCCCACACCAGGAUGCCCUUAUCUCUGUACACCCCUGUGCACAGUGUCCUUGGCUGCCCCAGCCUGCCCUGUCUCACCUUGCUGAUGGAUCUGCAGCCCUCCCUCAGGGCACAGGGGAGCCCCAUGGAGCCUUUCCCUUCUCCCAGCACCCUGUCUUGGAGCGUGUGGGAAGCUCAGUGCUCCUGGGAGGUUGGGAUGAGUCAGUGUUUGCACAUCCUGAGUCACUCCAGGGAGUUGCCAGAGAGGAGAGGGGGAUGCCCAGUCUCAUCUGGGGGUGUAAAUAUCCCAGGAAGUUCUGUCUGAAGGAAAAUUCCCAUUGAGAGAUCACCACCUUGUAGGGUUGCUUGGGCCACCACCAUGGACCAGAAGUGUCACUCCAUGAGGAAAAGUUGUUUCCUGCUUCCAUGUGAAUCCUUUCAGAUGGCCCACAGCUGAUUAUUUGGGAGGGGUGCCACAUCCCCAACCCAUGGCUGUCCUUGGAAACUUCCUGGGACAUGCCAAGGGGUUCCUCUGGGCAGCUUCUUCAGAGCAAGUUUGUGGAACCAGGGCACCCAACACGCCCGGGAGGCCAUGGAGGAAUGCCAGGCAAGUUCUCAAAGCAGGGCUUUUGGGAUGUCUUUUGAGUAGAAUGAAUUCCCAGUCCUCCCACUGAUUGCAAUUUUUAUCACUAUUUUUUGGGCUUUUUUGAGCUAGAGAUGCUCCUGAGCUCUUGUGAUGGCUUUGGGAGUGGGUUGGCUCAGGAGUUCACCCCUGGUGCUCAAAGCAGGUUUAAGAUGUAAAAGAAAGAAUGGACACCCUUGCUGACACCCACAGGCACCUUGUUGUCCUCUGUGCCUUGAUGAACCCCCAGAGAACACCACAGGAUACUUCAAAUACACACCCAGGCUUUAGAUUUUUACCUCCAUUUCCACCUUGAAUGGGAUAAAUUCCCAGGUGAAGAAGAGCUGGAAGAACACCCCAGGAUUUUCUGUUCUCAGAGUCCCUGCCUUUAACAUGAGCUAAAUAUUCUGUGCUUGCUCAGAGCAGAGGCUGAGCAGGGAGUGAGGCCAGAAAAACAGGAGGUCAUGUCAGACUUUCUUUUUCUCUCCUCUUAACACUGAAAUAAAAAUACAUCUCAAGCUUGUUUUGGGAUUAACAAGAAAAAAUUCCUCUUGAUGGGAACCAUCUGUGGCCGGGAGAUGCCGGCUGCUCUCUGCUUCCCACCCUCACCCAGACGCUGUCAUUCGGGGUGUGUUCCUCUCCCAAAUAUUAUUCCUCUCAUCCCUGUGCUGGUGGGAGGAAUCCCAACUAUUUAAGGAGGCUUUUCUCCCAGCAUUUCAAAGCAGCAGCAGCUGGUGGCACCUAUGCAGGAUAAUAUUUGCUCUCCUCAUUACAGCCCCAGCGCCCAGCACAGCUUGCUGGUGGCUGCUGGGCUCGGAGGGGAAACACUGCAAGUGGCUUGGCUGUGACCUUUCCACCCCAGACGUCACCUCAGGGUCACAGCAACAUCUCGAGGCCUCUCUGGCCUGUCCCACAAACCAGGAGGGAGAUUCCCUGGCUCUGCCUCUGCUGUGCUGCUGGAAAUGAGCGCGUUGGUGCUGGUCCCUUCAUGGUGGUGAAGAACGAGGACAUUUCUGGGGUGGACCUUGGCCCCAGCUGAGGUUUUGGGUGGGAAAUGCAAUUUCUGGGCUGGGUUGGCAGCAGGAGGAUGAAGAGGUGCAUUUGCAGCAUCAGGAACUCGAGAGGUUUGGAGCAGGGAGGAGCCUCCAAGGCCAGGAAGAGGAGAGGAAGCUCAAGGUGAAUCCAGCAGAAGCCAGGGCAGGUCUGGCCCGGGAGGAAAGGCUGGAAGUGUUGCUCUGCUCUCUCCAUGCAGCUGAGGAGGCUGCCUGGCUGAAACGUCUCCUCCUGGCAGGUUGAGCAGGAAUCUGGGAGCAAGAUGAGCCCAACAGGUUCUGGGCUGUGAAAGCUCCUGGAUGGCACCACAUCCCUAGCCUGGGAUCCAGGAGUGAACUGAAAUGGGCCCAAAUGAGCAUUUUGGGGGCUUUCCCAAACCUGGCUGGAUGAAGGAUCUUUGUGUGGGCCUUGACAUCUUCAGAGUGAUCCAGGCCUGGCUUGGGAGGUGGUUUGGAUUCAUUUGGAGAAAGGAAUACAGGUGCUGUGCUUCACCCAUCAAAAAGCAAUGUACAGAUUAAAUUUGUAGAAAUUUAUAUAAACUGCUGGAACAGCAUCAUGUAGAACAACAUUAUAUUGUAACAGGAAGAAAAUGUGCUGUUUUUUUUCUUUUUUUCAAGUUGUUUUAUUAGAAAUAGAGGGAAAUGGAUUCACAUAACAUUUUUCAGACAGUGAGGUUUUGAACUCUGGGAGUUUAAUUUCAGCAGUGUUUGUGCACACACGCUCCAUCUCAGGCAGGCUGAGCUGAGGCUGGGAUGGGUUUUUCAUCCCCUGUGAUGGGGUCAAACCCCACAUCUCCAUCCAAGAAAAAUUUGGGAUGGAGAGGAUCAGAAAUCUGAUGCUCCCCCUGACCUGGCUGAAUAACAGGGGCUUUGUUCAGGGAUCCAGGACAGGGAUUUUAUUUCAGUACCUGCAAAGAAGCUAUGAGAAGAAUGCAGCAGGUUCCUCCCAGCCUGGAGAAAUGCAGAGAUAUCUCCAGAGGUGUUUAAUAUUAACUGGAGCAGGGCACAUCCCUGAAGGGUUUGAUUGUGAGCCUAUCUGUGUUUGUACCCAAACAUCACCUGCAAAUCCACAGCGUGGCCAGAGCUGGAGCAGGUGAAAGUCCUCCUGGAGGGAGCUGGAUCAAUAAUGGGCUUGUCAAUAAAGAUCAUCCCAUGCUGGCAGCAGGAAUGUGAACCAUGAGCCCAGACCUUCCUGUGCAGGCACAGAACAAAGGCCUCAGCCACGAGGCUCUGAUGAAUGUGUUGGUGAAGAGGA